UGGGGAUGACGUCAAAUCAUCAUGCCCCUUAUGACCUGGGCUACACACGUGCUACAAUGGGCGGUACAAAGGGCUGCGAACCCGCGAGGGGGAGCGAAUCCCAAAAAAGCCCGACUCCUCAGUUCGGAUUGCAGGCUGCAACUCGCCUGCAUGAAGCCGGAAUCGCUAGUAAUCGCGGAUCAGCAUGCCGCGGUCGAAUACGUUCCCGGGCCUU
rnacentral:rRNA from 1 species